CCUACGGUGGGGCUGCAGUGGGGAAUAUUGGACAAUGGGGGGAACCCUGAUCCAGCCAUGCCGCGUGUGUGAAGAAGGCCCUCGGGUUGUAAAGCACUUUCAGUGAGGAAGAACGCCUGGUGGUUAAUACCCAUCAGGAAAGACAUCACUCACAGAAGAAGCACCGGCUAACUCCGUGCCAGCAGCCGCGGUAAUACGAGGGUGCGAGCGUUAAUCGGAAUUACUGGGCGUAAAGCGCGCGUAGGUGGCUUGAUAAGCCGGUUGUGAAAGCCCCGGGCUCAACCUGGGAACGGCAUCCGGAACUGUCAAGGUAGAGUGCAGGGGAGGAAGGUAGAAUUCCCGGUGUAGCGGUGAAAUGCGUAGAGAUCGGGAGGAAUACCAGUGGCGAAGGCGGCCUUCUGGACUGACACUGACACUGAGGUGCGAAAGCGUGGGUAGCAAACAGGAUUAGAUACCCUUGUAGUC
rnacentral:rRNA from 1 species